GCGGCACAAACCACCUAGCAACAGGAGCCAUGUUGGAAGACCAAUCAGUCUGUUGGAAGUCCUCCAAUAGUCCAAAAGGCUGGAUGUGUUCUGCUAUCACUGGAAACUUCGGGAAGAUUGUCCAUUAUUUUGUUUUUCUAAGGACCCAGAAAACGGAGGCAUUGGGAGAACCUAUUCAAAUAUAGAGAGCCGUGAAACCCUGUCUGCAGCUGAAGAGGUCCCAAUGAAUGUCCCAAGAGAAUAAAGGAGCCUCCCGAGUGACGUAGCGGUCUAAGGCACUGCAUCGCAGUGCUAGAGGCAUCACUACAGACCCAGAUUUGGUCCCAGGCUGUGUCGCAGCAGGACAAGACCAGGAGACCCAUGAGGUGGCGCACAUGCACAAUUGGCCCAGUGUCAUCCAGGUUAGGGGAGGGUGUCCCAUCACGCGCUAGCAACUCCCUGUGCCAGGCCAGUAUGGUGUUUCCUCCGACACAUUGGUGCUUCUGGGUUAAGCAAACAGUGUGUCAAGAACAUGUGCAGCAUGGCAGGGUUGCGUUUCGGAGGAUGCUUUCAACCUUCACCUGUCACGACUCCGUACGGGAGUUGCAGCGAUGGGACAAGACUAACUACCAAUUUGGAUAUCACAAAAAAGGUGUAAAAAGUAAACUUAAAAUUUUUUUUUUUUUACAAAGAAAUAAGUUAUAAUUAACGUAACUAUAUUAUUCAAGAUGAACUAGUGUCAAUGUCGAUUAACCACAGCUCACAAUCCUGCAAUAAAGAGGGUAAGGGAAUUUGUCUCUUAAAUGAGCACUACCUAUGUUUUUGUUCAGUUGUAAGCUGUCCAAUUAGUUUUGUUUGAUUGUCUCUUUUUUUUCAAGAUACAGCAUCAGCCAUGUGAACCCAUUUUGCAGCUGAUAAUGGCAUGCAAAGCCAAUGCAGUUAUAGACCUACAGCAGUGGUUCCCAACUCCCAUCCUUGAGUACCCCCAAUAGCACACAUUUUUGUUGCAGUUCUAGACAAACAUACCUGAUUCAUCUGAUUGAGAGCCUGAUGAUUAGUUGAUAAGUUGAUUCAGGUGUGCUUGUCCGGGGCUACAAUGAAACAGUGUACCUUUGGCAGUGAUUACAGCCUCGAGUCGUCUUGCGUAUGAUGCUACAAGCUGGGCACACCUGUAUUUGGGGAGUUUCUCCCAUUCUUCUCUGCAGAUCCUCUUAAGCUCUGUCAGGUUGGAUGGGGAGCAUCAUUGCACAGCUAUUUUCAGGUCUCUCCGGAAAUGUUAGACCGGGUUCAAGUUUGGGCUCUGUCUGGGCCACUCAAGGGUCGUUGUCAUGUUGGAAGGUGAACCUUCUCCCCAGUCUGAGGGCAUGAGUGCUCCGCUCUGGAGCAGGUUAUCAUCAAGGAUCUCGCUGUCUUUUGCUCGGUUCAUCGUUCCCUCGAUCCUGACUAGCCUCCCAGCCCCUGCCGUUGAAUGAUGCUGCCACCACCAUGCUUCACUUUAGGGAUGGUGCCAGGUUUCCUCCAGACAUGACACUUGACAUUCAGGUCAAAGAGUUCAAUCUUGGUUUCAUCAGACCACAGAAUCAUGUUUCUCAUGGUCUGAGUCUUUAGGUGCCUUUUGGCAAACUUCAAGAGGGUUGUCAUGUGCCUUUUACUGAGGAGUGGCUUCUGUCUGGCCACUCUACCAUAAAGGCCUGAUUGGUGGAGUGCUGCAAAGAUGGUUGUCCUUCUGGAAUGUUCUCUCAUCUCCAGAUGAGCUCUGUCAGAGUGAACAUUGGGUUCUUGGUCACCUACCUGACCAAGGACCUUCUCCCCUGAUUGCCCCGUUUGGCCGGGCGGUCAGCUCUAGGAAGGGUCUUGGUGGUUCCAAACAUCUGCCAUUUAUGAAUGAUGAAGGCCACUGCUUUUGGGGACCUUCAUUGAUGCAGAAAGGUUUUGGUACCCUUUGUGCCUCGACACAAUUCUGUCUCCGAGCUCUACAGACAAUUCCUUCGACUUAAUGUCUUGGUUUGUGCUCUGACAUGCACUGUCAACUUGGGACCUUAUAUAGACAGGUGUGUGCAAUUCCAAAUCAUGUCCAAACAUUUGAAUUUAUCACAGAUGGACUCCAAUCAAGUUGUAGAAACAUCUCAAGGAUGAUCAAUGGAAACAGGAUGCACCUGAGCUCAAUUUCGAGUCUCAUAGUAAAGGGUCUGAAUACUUGUGUAAAUAAGGUAUUUCAGUUUUUUUAAUAUACAUUUGCUAAAACAAUAUUGUUAAUAAUGGACCUCAUUGUAUAAUUUGUCUCCUCUUUUCAUGGCCAUGGCUAUAAGGGAUCCAACUUUUGUCAAAUUAAAAUCAUUUGACUUUCGUAGCAGAUUAGGAGAAUUUACGCUGCCGGCUAGGAGAAUUAACGUAGCAGGUUCGGAGAAUUACGUAAGGAAGGGGGUUAGGCUUAACUAAAAUGCAAAACCAAUAACUUCACAUUAAUUUAACAAAAGCUGUUUUUUUUAUUUUCUUCAUAGGCCUAGAUUACGUUGUUACAUCAAAUCAAAGUGUAUUUGUCACAUGCGCUGACUACAACAGGUACAACCUUACUGUGAAAUGCUUACAAGCCCUUAACCAACAAUACAGUUCAAGAAAUAGAGUUAAGAAAAUAUUGACUAAAUAAACUAAAGUAAAAGAUUGACUAAAAAGCAACACAAUAAAAUAACAAUAACGAGGCUAUGUACAGGGGAGGGGGUACCAGUACCAAGUAAAUGUGCGGGGGUACAGGUUAGUUGAGGUAAUUUGUACAUCAAAUAUAAUUGUAUUGGUCACAUACACAUGUUUAGCAGAUGUUAUUGCGGAUGUAGUGAAAUGUUUGUACAUGUACAGGAGGUAGGGAUAAUGUGACUAUGCAUAGAUAAUAAACUGCAAAUUCAAGACACGGUCAUCUGUUGUCAGAAGAGAGGACCUAGGGUAGGAUUUUAUUAAAAUAUAUUGUGCUAAUAAUGUCUCCAGUCAAAGUAUAGUAGAAGUGUAUGACAUGUUUAUCAAAGGCCACAUUUUUCCUGUGCAAAGGAAAUAAUAGUCUCUGAUAUAGCCUGCAUUAUGACUAUCCAAUGUACUCAUAUUAGGAAUAGUAGGUUUACAUAAGGCUGCAAAUGCGAUGAUAAAUGCAUGUAAUCCUUUGUAAUAAAGGUGCAUUUUUAUGGUGAAAAAAUAGCUUCCCCAAACCUUGAAACUCACAUGACACAUGCUAAUAGCUACACUACUAGCUGGCUAAUUCUGGCUAACUUAGUGUUGUUGUCAACACCUGGUUAGAAUAACAGCUUAACUCAAAAUCGAACAGACUUGACCUAUCAGUGAUAAAAUGAUAGUAGCAGACCACAUACUGACAGCUGUCUGAAUUUAGGGCUUGACGGGCAAAAAGGUUUCUUUACUUAUCCGACAGUUCUUGAGUCUUAUCUCCUUGGUGUCAACAAUGGUGUUUCAUGAUUGCAGGGAAUCUUUAAAAAAAAAUAUCCCCGUUGUCUUUUCUGCCUUGCUAGAGCAGCCAAAUACUGCACAGAAAAUGACCGUGGUGAUGAAUCAACUAGUUUUAGGCACUGCUAUCAUGCCGUUGUUGGUUGCUACUCAGCUGUUGUCAGAAGAAUUCAGGCGGUGGUCUUCCAACAUGGCCGCCAGAAGGCGUCGUACGUCAACUGCAAGACCUCUGGGUUUUUACAACAUUUGUUGACACUCUACAACUACCAGCAUUAAGUACCAGCCUCUAGUGACACAUAACAUCCAAGAAGUGAUAACAAGCACUGUAGUUUGUGAAAAUAUGUGGAUUGUCUUGCAUUACACAGGUGUUGCUGUGGUAGCUGUUGAGAGAGCAAGAGAGAGCGAGAGGGAGGGAAGAAGUGUGGACUGUGCAGUAUGCCAUGGCGACAGUGCAGUAGCUCAUGGUGUACAGACAGGCCCUCUGCGUGUGGUGUUCUGCAGCAUCAGCAUUCGGACAGGGGCCAGACGCUCGAUUUAUGGUGCCAGGGAGCGGAAAUGACCUGCUUCUGUCAUUGGGUGUAUGCCCCAUCACGAGAGGCCCUAAACUAUAUUGGCACAGCUCUGACAGACAUGUUUGUCAUCUAGUCAUCUUUGAAGAUACCAAGCAAGCAGUAUUAUUGAUUUGACAAGCUCCAGCUAUCUCUCUAGGUGCACACUGUUCCUGUCUCUCUAGCCCACACCACCUUGCCUGAGAGGCAUCCCUGUGGAUCCCACGUUGGUAUGAUUAAUACCAUAAUUUCUAUGAUUUACACUAUAUUCAACGGAAAUACAGUAGCAUAUCCUAUUAAGUUUAAAAGGAAUCAGAAUUCCUGUACAUGCAUAAGCAAACUCUUCCUCGUUGAUUAGUUCUCAUUAAUUAUUUCAACAGUCAUUUAUGCGUUUUGUAUGCCACCUUACCUGCUAUAUAAUUACCUAUACUAUCUGUAUGACGUUUUGAUUUAUUUUGAGUGUGCUACAUGAUCCAAUGGACUGCAGACUCGUACGAGGAAGUGAUUCCAUGCUCCUCUGAUGCAUGAACCUUCUGGUAGUGUUGCAUGAACAGUGACACCUUCUGGCACUCCCUAAACACAAUCCAAACAAGUUAAAUGUGUACAAAAGUUCACCCUAAUCAUAGAGCAUAGUAAAACCAAUUGAUUUCUUAUGUGUAAUGAAUUAAUUGUGAAAUUAAUGAAUGGAAGAUUAAUACAAUACUUAUAUGUAGUGAGUUAGUUCAGCCUUUUGAGACGUGAAAUAUUAGUUAAUCUUAUUUAUUUGUUUUACCUUUAUUUAACUAGGCAAGUCAGUUAAGAACAAAUUUUUAUUUUCAAUGAUGGCCUAGGACAGAUGUUUACCUUGUCAGCUCGGGGAUUCAAUCUUGCAACCUUUCGGUUACUAGUCCAACGCUCUAACCACUAGACUACCUGCCGCCCCUUAUGUCUUACAUUUUGUGAUGAAUAACAAUGGGAUUAUACACAUGUCAAUCACAUCUAAGAGCUACACCACUGACUGAAACACAUCAAACACUUUGUCACCAGGUAUUUCUCAUCCAAAUACAUCAAGAGCAGAAUAACGUUUUACCAUUUAGUAGCCUAAACCCAUACCCUGGAGACAAUACACCACAGCUUUCAUUAUCCAAUCACAAACUCAUAUGUUUCCCUUUGUCAGAUGAUGUAAAUGGGAUUCCUUUUAAUUAUGGCCAUUGACUAGAAACUCCAAAUUAAUUUGAUUACGUUUUGCAUAUAAAAAUCCAUCUUAAUUAUUACCCAAUUAACACAUAUUAAGGCACAUUAAAAGCCAGGCAUUAAAAUCAAUUUGUGAUUAUGUCUUUUUUGACUGAAAAUAUGCUUUAAUGAGUGAAUGUGGGGACAUAGGGCAUUGUUUCGGGAAUGAAAAUGUGUGAAUUCCGUUGUAAAACAGAAUUAGCAACAUGGAUAAAUGAAGCACAUGAGAAUUGACUAUAGCCUCAGCUUAAAUGUCCUUCUUCUUCUAGCUAUAAUCCUUCUACAAUUUAAAGAAUACGGUAUCUAACUGUACGUACACUCAAAAGAAUCAAAUAAAUCUGCCUCCAAACACAACAGGAUGACACAACUUCAGCGGCCACACGAUUAAUAUAAAACUGAUCAUAUUUUGUAGAUGAAAAAAUGCACAUACUUCCCUCUUCCUAUUACCACUAAAUCCAUGAUCUGUUUUGAUCUAUUCAAUCCGCCAAAUCUUUAAGUAUUUUCCCCAUUCCCCAAGCCCAUCCACAGAGCACUGUUUCACAUCCACUCAAAUGAAUAUUUUAUAGAGAUGCAAAGAUUUUCUCCUUCUCAAUGUGCAAUCAAAUGCAAUGCAAUGCAAUGCAGUGCUGCAGAGAUGUUAAAGGAGAGAUAUAGAGACACAUCUAAAGGAAGAAAUCCAUUUUUCUCUGCCCUUGCAUUCAUUACGGAAUCAAUGCUCCUCUCGGGAGACUGGUUCAAAAACCCUGUUUUAUUUUGAUCUUCAGAGAAACAAAUGCUCUUGGAAGUCGCCACAGUACAUGCAUUAAAAGAUUGGCGAGGCUAGAAAUGAAUACAGUAACCCGGCUGACAUCACAUUAUGAUGUGGAAUGUUGACUGGGUCUUUAUGGACAUGUUUUUUGAAGGAAAAAGACAAGGUCAAACCAGUGGGUAAAACAAAGUGCUCUUCUACUAUAUUAUCUAUGUGUAUUCAUACAACCUGGAUAACUAAUGGUAUUAAUUUUACUGCGGAUGUAGAAAGUGCUUUGUUACAUUGAGUUACAAUUUAUUGUUGUUAUCCAUCUAGAGAAAGACCCCAAACAAACUCAUGUGAUUGGUUAAACAUAUUCACAAAAUGAGCAGAGUAGAUACAAACCAGGUACAACUCAGUUUUAAAAAAUGACAGGAUUAUAGUUAAAAUAAAUAAUACCAGUUUACAGGAAGCUAAUGCAGCAACAUAUACAAUUUUCAUUCAAUUUGGGACAUUUAUGUGUAUCACUGAUCUGUUCAAUUGAAUUCAAAGAAUAAUGCAAACAAUUUUCCCCGCAUGACCAUUAUUUACAUAAACAGGCUUCUACUGAUUCCAAUACUGAGAAAGGUAAACAUUCUUUCAGAGUCAAUGUGGCAAUAUUGGAUUUAUAGUAUCUUUGGGGGUAUAGAAUUAAGGUUAAAAGGAUGUUACACAAUAAUGUUGGCCGCAGUUUCAUGGUGGAUCUCAUAUAUUCAGACAUAUUUUAAUUACAUCCCUUACAGUUUCUCUGGAAGUCUGCCCUCUACAGCAUGUGAUACAUUUUGGGCCUCCUGUUAUAUUUAUUGUCAUGUUUAAAACACUGUAAUGCUUAAGCAUUUUAAUUAGUACUCUGCACUUUAUCAUGAUCAUUGCUCAAGCUUGCCUAAUGAAGUUUGUAUGGCCCAAAUCUCCAUCAAAGGAAACUAUUAACUUGUAUGGUAAUGAAUAAGAGGCUUACAUCUUUCCCAUUCAGACCAGGCGAUAACAGCUCAACUUUGGGUUGGCCAAGCAAAAUAAACACUUAUCGAUAUUAUGUUCAGGGUUUGAGGCAUUGGCUAUCUUUUAGUGGAGACUACAGUUGCUCCACAUUCAUGUAACACAUGGUUUUGUUUUAUAAUAAAUCAUCAUGAGAUUUCACUGUCAGGUUAUGUUCUAACUUUCCUCAGCUCAAUAGUAACUGCAAGCAUGGUUCCUAUGGUUAUAGAGGGAAACUAAAAGAGACAAAUCAAAUAUGAUCCAUCCGCGUAUUCCUUUAUAAUCCUUCUCUAAUGGCUGUCUUUAAGGGCCAUGAGGGUGUGAUUGGUUAUGUAGCCUAGUCAGUUUUUUUUGCAUGCAUAGCUGCCUGAGAGGCAAGUAAAUGUGAUGGUUUCAGAUUUGAUUAGGCAGCCCACGGGCCUCAGCAGUCCAGCCCUGCGACGGGCAGGCAGGGGCCUUGUACAAGCGUCUCAUUGCUCACCAUGCCUCAGUGGUGAUGUACACACCAAGUGUGACCACUGCUUGAUUUAAACAGUCCACCCUGGAUCUGAGGGUGCGCUCAAUGCAAGUUUGUAACCCAUCCAUCUAGCGAACACUGGACAUUGGUCUCACCCAAUUACUUUUGGGAUACCAUUCUAGUGCAUUUAUGUUUGGAGUAAGUGACACACUAUUGUGAGAUUAUAUCAUUGAAAUAUGUGUACAUGAGUUUUUCUGUUAUGAAAGAAUGACUCUACUUUCUACCUUCUGUCACAAGUUCUGUAUUUCAUGUUUUACUGUAUAGAAUCAUUCAAAAUCAGGGGUGGAAUUGAAGGAAUUUGACACUGGCCAGGCGGGCUUGUAGACCACCAUUUUUAUAUGCCCAGUCCAGAAUCUAUGUCAAGCGAUAUUUGAAAAGACACAUAAAAAAAAAAAAUACAAAAUCAAGUUUGUCAAUUUAAAUGUAAGAGUGAUAAUUAUAAAGUGAUCACAAGUCUUCAUGAAAAAGACAAUAUUAUGGUGACACUCUCUUUGACCCACCUGUAUGUAAAUAUAUCAUGAAUCGUGCCUUUAAGACUUGUUAUAAGCAUUCAUAACGGCUUAUAGUUCCUUUAUAAAAUUCCAUUGUAUGUA